CCGCCGCCGGCCGAGCUCAGCCGCGCCCGCGGCCCGCGGCCGCCAUGCAGUUUAUGUUGCUUUUUAGUCGUCAGGGAAAGCUUCGACUGCAGAAAUGGUAUGUCCCACUAUCAGACAAAGAGAAGAAAAAGAUUACAAGAGAACUUGUUCAAACCGUUUUAGCACGGAAACCUAAAAUGUGCAGCUUUCUUGAGUGGCGAGAUCUGAAGAUUGUUUACAAAAGAUAUGCUAGUCUGUAUUUUUGCUGUGCUAUCGAGGAUCAGGACAAUGAGCUAAUUACCCUGGAAAUAAUUCAUCGUUACGUGGAAUUACUUGACAAGUACUUUGGCAGUGUGUGUGAACUUGAUAUCAUCUUUAAUUUUGAGAAGGCUUAUUUUAUUUUGGAUGAGUUUCUUUUGGGAGGGGAAGUUCAGGAAACAUCCAAGAAAAAUGUCCUUAAAGCAAUUGAGCAGGCUGAUCUACUGCAGGAGAGCCAGAAUGAAGAAUGGGGAGGUUUGUCUGAGGAUAUCUUAUGAUAAAGAGCAGUCUAAGGCUUUAGUCCCUUUGACCCCCAACUUAUUUAUUGGAUGCAAAAGAAGCUGAAACCCCACGUAGUGUUCUUGAAGAAAUUGGACUGACAUAACUCUCCUCCCUUGUUGAUGACUUCUUGUGGCAUUUCACACACUGUAGACGGUCACUGCCUUCAUGUCCGUGUUAGCUAUAAUGGUGUAAGAUGAUGUCUUGUCAGUAGUACUGUUUUGCUAAGCUGCUUCAUUCAGGCCUACACCAAUUUUUUUUUUUAAAGGGAAUUUUUGGUUAAUCAAGUGAUAACUUAAGGGACUUAAAUAGAAAUUAGAACGAUGCAGAAAAAGAAAGGUACCUUUUCUGGAUAUUUUAAAGUUUACAGAUCUGUUUCUCCCAAUCGAAUCAUGUUAUCUAUGAGAACGACAGAAUCAGGCAAUUUACAUUCAUUAAUUACCGUCUUUGGCAAAGGAAACUGUUAAAUUAUAAUAUGCAACCUGGCUUUAUGAAACCAAAGACUAGUGUGUAGCAUUUCAGCAUAUCUGAGAAUAAAGGGAAUCGAUACUCACAUAUCAAAUGAAUUAAAAUUUAACUGUUUAUAUUGAGACUUCAGAAAAAAACCAAAUUUAUACCAAAGACCCUGAUUGGAAACUACAUACUUAAAGGGAAUACACAAAUGACUAAAUUGAAAUGAUGCGUUUUACGCUAAAAAUUAUUUCUCCGGCAUUCCAAACCGGGGUCGAGGAACAGAGAUUGACUGUUUAAUAGUGAGCACGUUACUUUUAAGGCCAAGGAACGUUCAACUCCCGAGACAGAUUUUUUUCGUGGUCAUAAUGAUUUAGUGACUUAGACAGCUUUUGAGGCCCCCAAAUAAAAACGGAAACAUUGACUUACCAGAAUUCUUCACAACAGUAUCUGUGAAGAGAAGAACACAUUAUCUGUAGAUAAGUUAUUUUCUGUAAGAUAAGUUAAGUGUAAGAUAAGUGUUGCUUAAGUCAUUGUUUCAAGCACGACUUGUUCCUCCUGGGGUGCUUGUUAUGGCCAAGUUUAUUUUGCUCCCCUCCACUUACAAGUGCUGCAAACUUGAGGGCAGCUUCCUUCCCUUCCAUGGCAAUGCCUAGUUAUCAGAAAUCUUAUAAAAGCAGACACCACGUUUCAUGUAAAAGUGAGAGUCGAAUGAGGUCAAAUGACAUUAGUGGGCCCUGUAUUUUUAAAGGCUAUACAGUUGUUUCAGUGUCAACUUUUAUACAUACUUCUGUGUAUGUAGACACGUCUUCACGGUUUACACUUUUCAUUUGUAUCUGCUGGGCUGGAUUAAGCUUUGUUGUGAUUGUGACCAAUACACAUAUUCAGGCCAUGUUAGCUCUGUCUUACCACAUCACUGAUUAGUUGUAAUAAACGUUCGACGUACACCACUGUAGUGUGUUUUUAUCUUUCUCUUUGCAAAAGUUUGUCAAGCUAUGGGGAGCUGCUGAAAGAAUUUUUUCUCAGUAAAAUGUCAAAAAUUCACCUCCACGUGAAGGUGGAUGCUAAAAGCACACAUAAGACAAAUGAUAAAAGAUGUAAGUUUUCAUGUACUUCGAGCUCACUAAAGAAUAAUGUGGCUUCCAUGCUGAGAGCUUAUCAACACAUUUAUUUUCAAUCAAUAAAUGCCGCUUUUAAAACCUUGA